UACGGAGGGUGCAACCGUUGCUCGGAAUCAUUGGGCGUAAAGCGCACGUAGGUGGCCUGUUAAGUCGGGUGUGAAAUCCCUGGGCUCAACCCAGGAAGUGCACUCGAAACUGGCAGGCUUGAGUACUGAAGAGGGUCGCGGAAUUCCCGGUGUAGAGGUGAAAUUCGUAGAUAUCGGGAGGAACACCAGUGGCGAAGGCGGCGACCUGGGCAGAUACUGACACUGAGGUGCGAAAGCGUGGGGAGCAAACCGG
rnacentral:rRNA from 1 species